GCCUAAGAAGCUCAAUUGGUAGAGCGGAACAGUGAAGUUGUUUAUGUUAUAAGUUCGAGUCUUAUCUUGGGCA
rnacentral:tRNA from 3 species